CACCCCUCAAGCCUGGCUUGGUAUUGGGCGACGGCAGUCUGCCGCGCCUCGAAGUGAUCGGCUGGACGGUUUGAAUCUCAGCGUUGUGGUUUCAUCAAUUCGCUGGCGAGGACGACCGGACGCGCCGUUAAACCUCAAUCACA
rnacentral:misc_RNA from 1 species